rnacentral:rRNA from 1 species
GAUGAACGCUGGCGGCGUGCCUAAUACAUGCAAGUCGAGCGAAGCGGGGACGGGCGAGUAACACGUGGAUAACCUCCUAUAAGACUGGGUUAACUUCGGGAAACCGGAGCUAAACUGGAUCUUUAUAGCUGGAUUCGCGGUGCAUUAGCUAGUUGGUAAGGUAACGGCUUACCAAGGCAACGAUGCAUAGCCGGUCGGAGAGGGUGAUCAGACACACUGGAACUGAGACACGGUCCAGACUCCUACGGGAGGCAGCAGUGGGGAAGCUUCCGCAAUGGGCGAAAGCCUGACGGAGCAACGCCGCGUGAGUGAUGAAGGUCUUCGGAUCGUAAAACUCUGUUAUUGAGGAAGCGGUACCUAAACAGAAAGCCACGGCUAACUACGUGCCAGCAGCCGCGGUAAUUC